rnacentral:rRNA from 1 species
AAUGAACGCUGGCGGCGUGCCUAACACAUGCAAGUCGGAUGUGCCGCACGGUGCAUGGCAGACGGGUGAGUAACGCGUAGGGAAUCUACCUUUUUGUGGGGAAUAACGCUCCGAAAGGAGUGGUAAUACCGCAUGAGACCGUGAGCUGGGAUGUUCACGGUGCAACCUGGGGGCCGCAAGGCCUGGGGCAAAAUGAGGAUCCUGCGUCUGAUUAGCUAGUUGGCGGGGUAAUGGCCCGCCAAGGCGACGAGCAGUAGCCGGCCUGAGAGGGUGCUCGGCCACACUGGAUCUGAGACACGGUCCAGACUCCUACGGGAGGCAGCAGUGGGGAAUUUUGCGCAAAGGACGAAAGUCUGACGCAGCAACGCCGCGUGGGUGAUGAAGGUCUUCGGACUGUAAAGCCCUGUCGUCAGGGACGAAGGUGGCAGUGUUAAUAGCGCUGUUACUUGACGGUACCUGGAGAGGAAGCCCCGGCUAACUCUGUG